UUAAUCAUUUCAUGAAUUAUUUUUUAAUGGAGGGAAAUAACUUACAUUAUGUCUUUGCUGGUAAUAGUUCUUUUAAACCCUUAUUUAAUAAAACACUUACCAUCUCUACAUCACAGUUUAUAUUCCUGGGGACACCUUCUUACAAAGACCAUAGACUGAAGAAAGGAAAAGAAAUUCAAUGGGUUGAACACAUUUGCUUGAGACUAAAGAUCACCAGCACUUUACAUCAGUGGAGUGACCAGCAAAAGCUGUAAUGGCCUUCCUCCAGUGAAUUCUGGAAAUUAUUGUUGAUCAAGCUGCAACUCCAGUUGUUGCUCUCUGGCAGAAGAGAUUUGUACUGUCAAUGUGGGCUUCAAGUUUCUAAGGGCUCCUGGGCAAGGUGAAGUGACCAGAACUAAACACAAUGUUCUAAGUACAGUUGUACCACAAGGUUUUCCAGAUGACAUUCAGUCACAUUGCCUCCUCUUGCAUCAUGCAGUCCCAAAACCAUAUGCUUUCAUCCAGAAAAAGUGAUCCCGUUUUCUCUGCAUGGGAACAGCUGAUAUUUCAGAAGAGGCUGCAGCAGUGUUCUGAAAGCCUUCCUCCUGGUCACUGAAUUGCUGCUUCUUUAGAAGAUCUACUGAGUUGGAAUUUUCUUGAAAACAAUAUUGGUUGUCUGUUCUAAUGAAGGAGAGACUUAGGUGGUCUAAGUCAGCCUUCCUCAACCUGGUGCCUUCCGGAUGAUUUGGAUACCAACUGCCAUCAGCCCCAAUCAGACCAACAGUCUGGAAUAUUACAAGGUGGUGUAUAAAGAACUGCUGUGGCUGCCUUUCACAAGAGAUGAGGAAAAAGGGCAUGCCAGGAGAAGAUGCUGGGCUGACAACCUAUGCCAUAACCAGGUGACUUCAGUGGGAGCACAGAGAAUAUGAUUUCAAGCACUUACUGUCAACUAAGUGUACUUACAAGUAGAUGCUGAAGCAACCACUGAAAAUUGUACCAUUGAUUUGUACCUCUUACAAACCUCUCCUUAAAACUCACCUUUUCCAUGAAGACUUUUCACAGUCUCCUAGUUCCUGUUCUACUGCAGCCUUCCCCAGCCUAGUGUCCUCCAAAUGUUUUGGACUGCAGCUUCUAGCAUCCCUGAGCAUUGAUCAUGCUGGCUGAAGCUGAUAGGAGAUGACACCCAAUGUGGAAUGCCCCAGACUGAAGAAGGCAGAAUAGUAAGCCUAAAAAUACCCUGCAUUAUGGAUAAUGAGACAGAAGGAACAAAAUAAUUCAGAACAAGGAUUUAUGGUACAUGCAUAACUUGCACUUUAGAAGACAGAAUCAUCUGAGAAAUAGCAAAGUAGUAUUCAAAUAGGCAUAUAUACAAUAUGACUCCAGCACAUAUCAAGCAUUACCCAUUGGCAACAGCAAGGAAAGUUUCAAAACAUCAGCAAAUAUUGCCUCUGUAUGGGAACUGUCCAAAUGAAAGAAGCAUCUGAUCAUCACAGCCUUUAUCAGAAGUUUGAAGUGGUACACCCCUGGAUACAAGUUUAUCACCUCAAUGAGAAUCAAACCUUUGUGAAGUAGAAUUUAAGACAGAACAAAAAUAGUAUCACAGAAUAUGUUUUAUACUUAUUAGCUUUUUCUCCUACAAUUACCUUUUCAUGGAAUGUAACUGGAAGAAAUCAUAUUUCUGAAGAUUCUACCCAGCCUGAAUUCAGAAUGUUGGGGUGAAAAAUCAGAUAUUAUUGCCUUGAGGUGCUACUUUUAUCUAAAAUAAAAGCUACAUACCUUUUCCUACCCAUGGGAUUGUGAGCACCAGAAGGUAUGCCUUACACACAUCACCACAGGAAAAUAAACUGUUUCCCUCUUUGGAUGUUACACCAGAACUGCAAAAAGAGGAUGCAGGAGCUAUUUGCACUUCUGCUCUCCCUGCAAAAUGUUAAUGUUGUAAGCCACUCACCAUUAUUAUUCCAUAAAAGUCUACACAAUCAAGCUCAUUUAGUGGCAAGGUUUUGCCAGAUGUAAUCUCUACUUAUCAGAAAAUGUUCAAGUCCUCUUGUAGGAAGUUUAACAACUUCCAGGAAGAGGAAAACAUACAGAAUGGUAUCCAUUUGAUAUGAGAGGUUUUUUAAUAAUUCAAGAACUGAAAGCAGCACAGAUUUUAUUUACUUUCUUCAUUGCAACAGAAGUGCUGCAUAUCGUCGUAUAUUUCAGUAUAAACAAUGUGUCAUCAUAAAUUAAAGAACCCUGAAUGCAUUUUUAGAAUAAACUUGGGAUGGGAAUUUACCCUCCAGAUAUUUUGGACUACUACUUCCAUAAGCACCAGCAAGCAUGGCUAGUGGACAGGGGUUGUGAGAAUUGCAGUGCAAAGCAUCUGGAGGGCAGUGAUUUGCCUUCUGCUGGUCUAAAUCAAACAUUUCUUUUGAUGAGCUUAUGAAACUUGCAUUCAUUUUAUUAGAUGGCAUUUUAUUAUAGUACCUUUGGCACAAUAGUGUACUGAUUUUUAUUUCAUAAAGCUUAUGUUUGAAUGCAUUAAAGAGACUUUCCAAUAUCUCAUCCUAUCUCAAGAAAUAGUAAUAUUAUUUCUUGAUUGAGAUUUAGCCAUAUAAACAAAUGGACUUAUAUUGAAAACAAGUCAAACAUAAAAUCAACUUUCACCUGGAAUAUGAAGAAAGGGAAGUGGUUAUAUAAACUGCACAAUGCAGAAAACUUCCCCUCCCUUUCAUCACUGUAAACUCAGAUAUAAACUUUGCCUGAAGCUGCAAAAAGGCAGGGUUUCAGAAUUUGAGAGAAAAAACACAUUAAAAGUAAACUUUCUGCUAUAGAUAUGGUCAUUAUAAAUUACCAUAGGACUGAACUUCUGAAACCCAUUACUUGUUUGACAGCAGCUGUGUGGCUAACUUGCCUAGUUAAUUCUGAAUGGUUCAUUCUGCAUGAUCUGUCAUGCAUACAUGGCAAACAACAAUUAUGAACAACCCUUAAUAAUAACACAGUUCUACUUACAGAAAGUUAAGACACUUACAAUGUAGAAAGGAAAAAUGAAGAACUUUUUUAAGAGCUUGGAAAAAAGUUAAGAAAAUGUAUAUUACAGCCAAAGGUGGAACAGAGGUCUAUCACUUUGCACUUCCAAAACCACCUUCUUUGCUCCUUCAUAAAAUAAAAUUAGAAGACUUGAAGUUUAUCAUAAGACAGUGGGUCAUGCCCACUUUGCACAUCCUAGCUGCAUUUGAGCUCUCUGUGUGUGUACACACGCACACCCAUGUACGUGCCAUCCUCAGGAAACCCAAGUUACAGCAGAUAGACAUGUAUUUGCUGUACAGUUGUGUCUGUCUGACACAUUAUCUUCAUGUGUUAUGCAGCUAGAACUCAUAAAAGUAAAAUAUGAAAUUCACCGAAAGGAUUUCUAAAAACCUCACCUCCUCAUUUUCACUUUUAGAAAUGUUUCUAACCUCCUAUUUUCCAAUUCAUCUGGAGAACUGCAUUUAAAAUGUAAUUGUGAAUCUGAAGACUUCAACUAUAUGCUGCAAGCCAAAUGAAAGUAAAGUUGGAACCUUAUAUACUCAUCAGAUCAUAUAUUGGUAAAAAACUGGCUUUGUCAAACUAACAAAUGAAUAUUUUGCCCUUCUACCCCAUAUUUAGGAUACCUACAGGAGACAGGAGCAACAUUCCUGAAGAGCAUGUGGCCCUGGUAGUUGACUGUGCCUAUCCAUGGAGGUUUGCCCUAAUGCACCAGCACAAUGGUUUUGAAUAAGAAACUUUAAAAAGAACACCAAAGUCUUCAGCUGAGGACAACAGUUUCAAGCGACUAUCUUAUUUACACUAACUAGCAUGUACAUCUCAAUAAACAUGAUGGGACAUCUUUCAAAUAAAAUACAUGGCAUCAUGUUUCAAUACCACCUGUAGACAGAACUUGAGCACAUUGUGGAAUGUUCAAAGAUCAGUCAAGUCAUCUGUGCAACAAGAACAGAGUAGCAUCUUUGAUAGUUGCUCCAGGACUUCAUGUUUUUCUCUCUUAGGAGGCCUGUUAAAUUCUACUGUCCAUCUGCCAGAAACAUGUUUUGGUUGCUUUGUCAUUUACUGCGGACUCUUAAGAGACUGCCACUCAGUAUAUAAUGGUUAUCAAGACUGGAGCCUGCUGUAUAUCCUAUACCCUACUAAAUAAAGCACCUUUAAGAA